rnacentral:lncRNA from 1 species
GCCUUCCUGUGGCAGAGGAUCCAAAGAAGGGAAGAAGCCACUCUUGGCUGCUUCACAGACACCAGCUCGCUGGAUCAGCAGUGGGACCUUCUCCAGCCUCCUUUGCCGUGUUCGAUGCUCCGAGAUGCACCAAACAGGAGUUUGAUUAGGAAAGAACCACAGAGUCGUGGGGAAAGGAGGGGCCUGGAGCAGAAGCCAUUCAGCGCAGUGGCUUGCUGGGCUUGAAGAGGGAGGGAGAAAGCCUUUCCUCCCUACGGACCAUCGGAACUGAAAGGGACCUUACAGAUGACAGUCCAACCCUCAUAGAAAACAGAUGGAGAGAUUUCUGCUGCGGGAGGUGGCACCAUUUGUCCUCGUUCAUGCAGUGAGUGAAGCUGGGGCUGAGAAAACAGCUCACUCUUCUGACAGCCACUCUGAGUGCUUUCGGCAGCUGCGGCUGGCUCGCCCACUUCCUCGCCUUAGGCCUUUAUUUUCACAUUUACUCAUCUGCCCAAACCACUAGCCUCAGGGGGUGACGCUCCUGCUCCUCUUCACACGGAGCCGCCUGCUUUACCCCCUCACUUUUUCACUCGGGGGAAGAGCCCAACACAUUCACAGGGCCGUGUUUAUUAGCAACGUGAUUUCCAGGCCUUAAUAUCAGGAACCGCGUGCCAUUUUUCUCUCUCUUGUUCUGUGUGGUGCCUUCAUGGGGUAAGAAUUAGGAGUCAGCCAGACAUUCUCCACCAAGUGGCUGGUGGGAAGAUGGAUUCAGGGGUCUUCUUGGGGCCAAAUUGCCUACUUUUCAGGCAUGAUGGGGAAUAUGGAUUGACAAAGUUACUGUUGGAGAGGAAGGAGGAGGUAUCGGAACCUCAGUGGUAUUUAACAAAUAUUUAUUGUGUCACUACACAUGCUGGGUUCAGGGACUCUGCCAUGAACACACCAGACAGGGCUCCUGUCCUCAGGGAGCUUACAUUCCAGUGAGGAGAAGUGCAGUAAAUAAGAAAACAAAGAAAGAAGCGAGAUACUACAGAGGGUGAUGAGACCCCUGAAGGAAGCAGUUAAAGAGACACACUGGAGAGUACUUGGUGGGCGGGCGGGGGUCUGCCUUACAUACGGUGGCCGGGGAAGGCCAUCCGAGAGCUUCCCUUUGACCUGGGCCUGCAUGAGGAGGAAGAGCGGCCUGAGCGGAGCAGAGAGGAGAGCGUUCUCGGCAGAGAGAACAGAAAACCCAAGGGCUCCAACAUGGCACGGCGCUUGGAUGUUCCAGGAGUCUCCCAGAAUCUGGCCAUGCGGGCGGAGCAUCAUGAAUAAGGGCUGGACGUGGACCCGAGGGCGGGAGCUGCGCUGGAGAUAGAAGCCAGCUGAUGAAGACGGCAGAGCAGUGGGUAGACAGAGACUGAUGAGCUGGGGCUGCCUUCCUGGCCAAGGUCAGCUACCUGGAUGUUUCUAUGACUGAGCAAUAAACGUCCAUCCU